CAGGUAUUCACCCUGGAACUGGCAUAUUUUGCAGGCAAAGAGCAACUCUUACACAAUACAGAAGACUAGCAGAACUAGCCCUUUUGCCAGAACUUGGACCAAGAAAAUGGAAAUAUGCUCAAUAUGAGGUUCAAUCCAGGGUUAAACUCUUGCUGCUCUGUAUUGUCUAUGUUAUUAAUGCCUCCAAAUAAAAAAGACUGAAGAAACUUGUCUCCAUAGAAACUAGCAUCUAACUAAAUCUAAGAAGAAAUUUACUUGCUUCUUUCUCUUUUACUUGACCAGAACAAGAGAAACAUGAUGUCCUCACUGUCUGAAAGGAUUUUGCCACUUACAAAGGUAGUUUUCCAUUCCUCCCAUGUCUAAUCAACAAA
rnacentral:lncRNA from 1 species